rnacentral:rRNA from 1 species
CGAUGCCCAUCUUGCUGGGCGGAUUAUUGGCGAACGGGUGAGUAAUACGUGAGUAACCUGCCCUUGACUCUGGGAUAAGCCUGGGAAACUGGGUCUAAUACUGGAUACUACCUCUCACCGCAUGGUGGGUGGUGGAAAGGGUUUUACUGGUUUUGGAUGGGCUCACGGCCUAUCAGCUUGUUGGUGGGGUAAUGGCUCACCAAGGCGACGACGGGUAGCCGGCCUGAGAGGGUGACCGGCCACACUGGGACUGAGACACGGCCCAGACUCCUACGGGAGGCAGCAGUGGGGAAUAUUGCACAAUGGGCGGAAGCCUGAUGCAGCGACGCCGCGUGAGGGAUGACGGCCUUCGGGUUGUAAACCUCUUUCAGUAGGGAAGAAGCGAGAGUGACGGUACCUGCAGAAGAAGCGCCGGCUAACUACGUGCCAGCAGCCGCGGUAAUACGUAGGGCGCAAGCGUUGUCCGGAAUUAUUGGGCGUAAAGAGCUCGUAGGCGGUUUGUCGCGUCUGCUGUGAAAGCCCGGGGCUCAACCCCGGGUCUGCAGUGGGUACGGGCAGACUAGAGUGCAGUAGGGGAGACUGGAAUUCCUGGUGUAGCGGUGAAAUGCGCAGAUAUCAGGAGGAACACCGAUGGCGAAGGCAGGUCUCUGGGCUGUUACUGACGCUGAGGAGCGAAAGCAUGGGGAGCGAACAGGAUUAGAUACCCUGGUAGUCCAUGCCGUAAACGUUGGGCACUAGGUGUGGGGGACAUUCCACGUUUUCCGCGCCGUAGCUAACGCAUUAAGUGCCCCGCCUGGGGAGUACGGCCGCAAGGCUAAAACUCAAAGGAAUUGACGGGGGCCCGCACAAGCGGCGGAGCAUGCGGAUUAAUUCGAUGCAACGCGAAGAACCUUACCAAGGCUUGACAUUCACCGGACCGCCCCAGAGAUGGGGUUUCCCUUCGGGGCUGGUGGACAGGUGGUGCAUGGUUGUCGUCAGCUCGUGUCGUGAGAUGUUGGGUUAAGUCCCGCAACGAGCGCAACCCUCGUUCUAUGUUGCCAGCACGUGAUGGUGGGGACUCAUAGGAGACUGCCGGGGUCAACUCGGAGGAAGGUGGGGAUGACGUCAAAUCAUCAUGCCCCUUAUGUCUUGGGCUUCACGCAUGCUACAAUGGCCGGUACAAAGGGUUGCGAUACUGUGAGGUGGAGCUAAUCCCAAAAAGCCGGUCUCAGUUCGGAUUGAGGUCUGCAACUCGACCUCAUGAAGUCGGAGUCGCUAGUAAUCGCAGAUCAGCAACGCUGCGGUGAAUACGUUCCCGGGCCUUGUACACACCGCCCGUCA